UGCUUGCGGCUCUGCCACAUGCUUGCCUGCCUGCCUGUGUACUUCCUUGCAGCUGUAUGCCUGCCUUUAGUCAGCAUUGGACCCAUGCUCAGACUGCACAGAGUCCUGCUUCUGCACCUGGAGAUCCUGCCUGAACACCCCUGGAGAGAGCAGCCAGCAGGAGCUAGCAGCAAGGUCAGAGACUGCCAUUUCCCCUUAUGCCAGAGGAUUCCAGCCUCAAAGUCCACAGGCACGGACGCUGAAGAAUUGGACACUUGCAAUAGGCUGUGACGUAGCUCUGGAGGGUGAUUAUUGAUCAAUCUGAAUUCAUAGGUCGCAGAAUACCCCAUCCACGACACAGGUAUACUCAAACCUAACAGGUGAUUAAAACCAAGAAAACCCAUCUUGCUCUGAAAUCAAAAUCACAUCACUUAAAGAAAGAAAGGAGGAAAGAAGAAGAAUGAUCUACACCAUACCUACGCAAGGGAGGGAGUAGCCGAAGUCUGGGUCGUGGAUGAAGCGACGAUCAUUCAGCAUAGUCACACAGUACAAAUGGAAACAGUCCAGGCAAAUGACAUGGCGAUGCACGCACUGGAACACAAGCACAGGACUCCUGUUGAAAAUGAAACAGUGAAAAGUGAUGAACAAGAACUGGACCAAACUCCUCAAAAAUAAAAAGCUUUCUUUCACA